rnacentral:rRNA from 1 species
UACGGAGGGGGUUAGCGUUGUUCGGAAUUACUGGGCGUAAAGCGCGCGUAGGCGGAUUAGAAAGUUGGGGGUGAAAUCCCGGGGCUCAACCUCGGAACUGCCUCCAAAACUGCUAGUCUAGAGUUCGAGAGAGGUGAGUGGAAUUCCGAGUGUAGAGGUGAAAUUCGUAGAUAUUCGGAGGAACACCAGUGGCGAAGGCGGCUCACUGGCUCGAUACUGGCGCUGAGGUGCGAAAGUGUGGGGAGCAAACAGG